rnacentral:rRNA from 1 species
AUGCCCAGUCUGCGCAAUCUGCUAGGAGCGCAGUACGAAGCAAUGGCUAGAGUAUUGCCCAGGCGCAGGAGGCAAGAAGGGCAUGUUCCCCAUCUGCAAGCAGGCCCGACCCGCCUCUUCAAGUCCACCGGCAAGUGCCCCACGCUGGCGUCCCACUCCCCUCCUCGUCGCAGGACCUCGAGCCAGAUGCCCUCACUGUCGAGGUCGUCCGAGUGGAGCAGAAGGCUUCAUCCCUUGGUCGGGUGCUCGACGAGCAGCGCAAUCAGAUGCAGAGGCUCCACGCCGAGAUGGUUCUUGGUUCAAGUCGUUAGAUGGGAGGGGAAGGGGGCGGUGGAUAUGAUGCGAGAGUUGUCUAGGAAGGAGGAACAGUGCAGCUGUUGCUCAAUGCGAAAACAGAGGUUGAAUUCUGGUUGUAGUCUCUCGCAUGCCAUGAACAGGACAGAUAUUGGGGACGAGCAUUGCCGGGGCUUACAAAGGCUGCCGUGUAGCAGGUUUGUGGAGGUGAUAGCGCCAGUCUUGUGGCACUAA